UACGAAGGGGGCUAGCGUUGCUCGGAAUCACUGGGCGUAAAGCGCACGUAGGCGGAUUGCUAAGUCAGGGGUGAAAUCCUGGAGCUCAACUCCAGAACUGCCUUUGAUACUGGCGAUCUCGAGUUCGGGAGAGGUGAGUGAAACUGCGAGUGUAGAGGUGAAAUUCGUAGAUAUUCGCAAGAACACCAGUGGCGAAGGCGGCUCACUGGCCCGAUACUGACGCUGAGGUGCGAAAGCGUGGGAGCAAACAGG
rnacentral:rRNA from 1 species